UGGGGAAUUUUGGACAAUGGGGGCAACCCUGAUCCAGCAAUGCCGCGUGUGUGAAGAAGGCCUUCGGGUUGUAAAGCACUUUUGUCCGGAAAGAAAACGCCGUGGUUAAUACCCGUGGCGGAUGACGGUACCGGAAGAAUAAGCACCGGCUAACUACGUGCCAGCAGCCGCGGUAAUACGUAGGGUGCAAGCGUUAAUCGGAAUUACUGGGCGUAAAGCGUGCGCAGGCGGUCCGCUAAGACAGAUGUGAAAUCCCCGGGCUUAACCUGGGAACUGCAUUUGUGACUGGCGGGCUAGAGUAUGGCAGAGGGGGGUAGAAUUCCACGUGUAGCAGUGAAAUGCGUAGAGAUGUGGAGGAAUACCGAUGGCGAAGGCAGCCCCCUGGGCCAAUACUGACGCUCAUGCACGAAAGCGUGGGGAGCAAACAGGAUUAGAUACCCUGAUAGUCCACGCCCUAAACGAUGUCAACUAGUUGUCGGGUCUUCAUUGACUUGGUAACGU
rnacentral:rRNA from 1 species